CACUGAAGGAUUUUGAGCAGGGUUAGGCCCAUGUGUUGGAUUAUUCAUUCUGACAGCAGAGGCCAGAAGCUGGGGAACAGGUAGAGGCUAUCCUAGGAGUCCUUGUGUGGAAGAAUGAAAGAAACCUGAACCAGGAUUGUGCUGAAAAGAGAAGGGGGUAGGGGUAAGGGUUAGAUUUCAAGGACAAUUGAACCUUCGGGGUGGCAAAACUGGUGCUGAUUAGCUCUGGAGCCUGAGAGAGAAGGAAGAGUUCAUGAUAACCCCCACCUGCCUCACCCUGGAUCCAUUCCCUCUUUUGUGUUAAUCAGACACUUAUUGAGCACUUACUGUGUGCCAGGCAUUCUUCUGAGUGCUUUACACAUAUUCACUCACUUAACCCUACAACCACUGUAGCUACAAGGGAAUUAUCCCACUGUUAGCAUCCCCAUUUUACAGAUGAGGAGACUGAGGCACAGAGAGUUUAAUUUGGCCAAGGUCACAAAGCUAAUAAGUAACAAAGCUAAGAUUUGAACCCAGGCCAUUUGGCUGCAGAGUCCCUGCCCUCACCACUGCUGAGGUUGAACCUGAGUCUUGUCCUGAAUGUUUCCUGGCAUCCCAGCCCCAGCCUCAUCUCCUCCUCCUCAUAUCACUCCCCAUCAGGCAGCAGCAUAUCCCCUCAGUAUCCCAACUGCCUCCCAGAAUGUUGCCCCACUCCAAGGUGCACCUCUGUCUGAGAAGCAGCUCCCAGCCUGUGUGGCCCCCAGUCUCAGCCAGCAAGACUGUAGGGCAUCAGGGAUCUACAGGUGGGGAAACUGAAGCCCAACAAUGAGUCACAGGCCUCAAUCAGGGAGCUGUUGGCAGAGCUGCAUCUGUGACUCCUGGCAAAAGUAAUUGUGGUUUUUGCCAUUUAAAGUAAUGUAAUACGAUGUCAGGGACUCGGGGACUCUGUCACUGACCAGAAAAAGGAGAGGAAUUCUGAAAUAGCUUCAGCAUGAGGAGCAGGGUAAGAGGGCCUGGUGACAGACCCUGGCCAGCACCCCUUCUAUCCCAGCCAGCAAGGGCCCUGGCCACACUUACCAUGUGCAGCAUGUCUGAGGCCGGCGGGGAUACCUGGGCCCGGUAGAGGUUGUGCAGCUCCACCAUCAAACGUUUCUCCUCAUCUGUG
rnacentral:lncRNA from 1 species